rnacentral:tRNA from 1 species
GGGGUGGAUGGGUCCUGGUGGACCUCCUGGUCUUCAAAACCAGUCGCGGGGUGAGAAACCCUGGGUGGGUUCGAUUCCCACGCACUCCC